rnacentral:lncRNA from 10 species
GGCGGGGCGUCUCCGAGCGGCGGGCCGAGGGAGGGCGCAGCAGCUGCUCCCUGAACACUUUCUGACCCAACAGUCCCCCAGCGCCGGACGCGCCGCGCCCUGGCGGCUCUAGGGACCCCCCCCGCGCCUGCACUUAGCCCCGCGCCCGAGUCCACAGACAAACGAAUUUAAAGGAGCAACCGAGGAGGCACCUGCGAAAGAAAGCCCACACACAGGUGAAUUUAAAGGAGCAGCCCUGGUGUCACCUAUCAGUAAAAGACUAUUUGGAGUUUUCCUCGUCUUACUGGAUGUCACUCUCGUCCUUGCCGACCUAAUUUUCACUGACAGCAAACUUUAUAUUCCUUUGGAGUAUCGUUCUAUUUCUCUAGCUAUUGCCUUAUUUUUUCUCAUGGAUGUUCUUCUUCGAGUAUUUGUAGAAGGGUAAGUUUGAUUAUUUUUAUAAUAAGAACCACUUUGGGAGGCUGAGGUGGGAGGAUCCCAAGGUCAGGAGUUCGAGACAAUCCUGGCCAACAUGGUGAAACCCCGUCUCUACUAAAAAUACAAAAAUUAGCUGGGUGUGGUGGUGGUUGCCUGUAAUCCCAGCUGCUUGGGAGGCUGAGGCAGGAGAAUCAUUUGAACCUGGGAGGCAGAAGUUGCAUUGAGCCGAGAUCAUGCCAUUGCACUCUAGCCUGGGUGACAG